rnacentral:lncRNA from 1 species
UCUGGUCUUGUAGUCUGUUAAGGGUGUAUGGCCGAAAAUGGGGGUGCAGCUCGAAAUUUCUUGGUCCAAGCCCAAAGGGGUGCAGCAGCAAAGUUGGAGGUGGCAUGUAGUAUUUACUGGUCAGGCCCAAUCCUUUUUUUUAUUUGCAGAAAUGGAUUGGGAGUGUGAAUAGCAUUGCACGAGGUGGCUGGAUGAGAGAAUGGGCCCAAUAACCAGGCCCGAAGUCCCUUGCUCCAAAUCAGAAAUUUUAGGGGUCUCUUCAUUUCUCCAUUUCACCCAAUGCCAGAGACCUUGGUCUCUUCCUCUGAUCAGAAGAAUCCUGAGACACCCAUAUCUGUCACGGCUAUGCCUCAGCUUUCGCUCAACCGGCCACCACCGUACCAACCACGACUUCGUCCACAACGAUGUUCGUCGCCGGAGCCACCAAGUCGUGGUCGUCGUCCUCCGUCGAGCUCCCUUCUUCACCAUCGAGACCAGUCGUCGGUGCUUACAUUGGAAAAAACUGAACCCAUCACGGCGGACUAGGCUACCCGAGUUGUGAACCCUAACACUUCGACACCCCAACCAAUGCUAGCCGAAGACGCCACUGGACACUAACCGUCGCCGCUGACAGAGGUUUCGUCAACACACUCGUCUUCGUUUUUCACUUCUCUACGCGAGUCUCAUCACCUUCCAUGAAUGCAAGGCUAAAUUCUUGGUUGGGGUUUUCUCUUUUUACGAUGUCGCUGCAAUUAGAGCCCUUAGCCGCCGCCCAAGGCCAUCAUGGGGAAUGGAGGAGGUGUUGGCGACACCAACUCCCUUCUUCUCCUAUCUCUGUUCUGAUUAGUGUUGGCAAUGAAGAUGACGAGGCUUAAGAUUUAUUGUUUUUGUGCUAUGCUUGAUUGAGGGGUUGAUCUCUAAGAUGAAUUCUUCGUUGGAUUUUUUCUUUGUUUUUCAAGUGUCGAACCAGAUGGAGGGGCGAACCAAAGAUGAAAUGAUGAUGAGGGAGACCAUUCUUUGUGCGAGUGAGUAGAGGAAUCAAAAGUUGUAUGUGACAGAGGAAAAAUGGGUUGCGGUCACUGCUUGAGUUGAAUUUCUCUAAAGAUUAAGGGGAGGGAGUUGAUGCAGGUGAGUUUGAAUGGGUGGUUUCUAAUGAAAACGUGAUGGGAAGUGAUUCUGUUGGGGUGGUUAUGGGUAUGUCCGAGAGAGUAGCGAGUGAAUGUUAGUUUGGGUCUAUCGGAGGAAUUGAAAGUUGUAUGGUUGUUGAACUAAAGGCCAGUGUAUUGGUGAAAAGGAGACAGGUUUGUCAUGAAAAUUGCAUAGGCCGAGAGAAACGAGAUGAAGAUGGGGGAUACUGGUUGUCGGUGUUGAUAGAGAAUCAUGUGUGUGAACGAUGAUGGCGUUGGAGGUGUGUGAUGUUUGUUCCGGUCUCUUUUCGGCCGGAACCUUGAGUGAGUAACGUAUAAGAAAGAAUUAGGAGUGAAAGGCCAAAAUGUGGUUGGGGGUUGUUAUGGUUUUUGCAGAGCAGAGUGGUAGUGUAUACGAUUGAAGGAGAUGAAUUCUGUUAUGUCCCCUUGUGCCCCUUCCAAAACGUGUUCUUUUUUUACAACAAACAUUUUUCCUUUCCCUUUUUUUUUCGCGUUUCCCUCUUCUUUGUUUUUUUUAUUAUCAUUCUUUUCUUUUUUUUUCUUUUUACUUUUCCCAAAAGAAUAAAAUCAAAUAAGAUAAUAAUAA